GAUGGACGCUGGCGGCGUGCCUAAUACAUGCAAGUCGAGCGAAUGGAUUAAGAGCUUGCUCUUAUGAAGUUAGCGGCGGACGGGUGAGUAACACGUGGGUAACCUGCCCAUAAGACUGGGUUAACUCCGGGAAACCGGGGCUAAUACCGGAUAGCAUUUUGAACCGCAUGGUUCGAAAUUGAAAGGCGGCUUCGGCUGUCACUUAUGGAUGGACCCGCGUCGCAUUAGCUAGUUGGUGAGGUAACGGCUCACCAAGGCAACGAUGCGUAGCCGACCUGAGAGGGUGAUCGGCCACACUGGGGCUGAGACACGGCCCAGACUCCUACGGGAGGCAGCAGUAGGGAAUCUUCCGCAAUGGACGAAAGUCUGACGGAGCAACGCCGCGUGAGUGAUGAAGGCUUUCGGGUCGUAAAACUCUGUUGUUAGGGAAGAACAAGUGCUAGUUGAAUAAGCUGGCACCUUGACGGUACCUAACCAGAAAGCCACGGCUAACUACGUGCCAGCCGCCGCAGUAA
rnacentral:rRNA from 1 species